UACGGAGGGUGCAAGCGUUAUCCGGAUUUACUGGGUUUAAAGGGUGCGUAGGUGGGCAGUUAAGUCAGUGGUGAAAUCUCCGAGCUUAACUCGGAAACUGCCAUUGAUACUAUCUGUCUUGAAUAUCCUGGAGGUGAGCGGAAUAUGUCAUGUAGCGGUGAAAUGCUUAGAUAUGGCAUAGAACACCAAUUGCGAAGGCAGCUCACUACGGGAUUAUUGACACUGAGGCACGAAAGCGUGGGGAUCAAACAGG
rnacentral:rRNA from 1 species